UUAUUCCUACGGGGGGCAGCAGUGAGGAAUAUUGGUCAAUGGGCGGGAGCCUGAACCAGCCAAGCCGCGUGAGGGAAGAAGGUACAGCGUAUCGUAAACCUCCUUUGUCAGGGAACAAAGGCGGGGACUAGUCCCCGGAUGAGGGUACCUGAAGAAAAAGCAUCGGCUAACUCCGUGCCAGCAGCCGCGGUAAUACGGAGGAUGCGAGCGUUAUCCGGAUUUAUUGGGUUUAAAGGGUGCGCAGGCGGUCUGUUAAGUCAGCGGUCAAAGCCCGGGGCUCAACCCCGGCCCGCCGUUGAAACUGG
rnacentral:rRNA from 1 species